rnacentral:rRNA from 1 species
UACAGAGGUCUCAAGCGUUGUUCGGAUUCAUUGGGCGUAAAGGGUGCGUAGGUGGCGCCGUAAGUGGGGUGUGAAAUUUCGGAGCUUAACUCCGAAACUGCAUUCCAUACUGCGGUGCUUGAGGACUGGAGAGGAGACUGGAAUUUACGGUGUAGCAGUGAAAUGCGUAGAGAUCGUAAGGAAGACCAGUGGCGAAGGCGGGUCUCUGGACAGUUCCUGACGCUGAGGCACGAAAGCUAGGGGAGCAAACAGG